AUUUAAGUAGUUUAAAGUAAAAUUUUAAUUUGUGAUAUUAAAGAUAUUUAGUUAAUCUUAAAUA
rnacentral:tRNA from 1 species